rnacentral:lncRNA from 1 species
GUCUAGGCUUCAAAAGAAGAAUAUGCCCCUUGCUGGAGCUGAGACAUAAGGAAAUUUUGGAACUGAAAAAGCCAAUCUAGCUCAGCACUUCUGCUAUUUAUUUGGUUUUGGAGUUGUGAAGAUGGAAUUAAUUGCCUCCCAUCUAUAUUGUUUGGCCUAAUAUUCCUGUAUACUAAAAUGCAGAUAAAGCCUGAAUUAAGAGCCAAGUGAAGUAUUGUCCGGAGCUGUAAUAGCAUGUUUGGCAGCUGUAUGGCAGUCAGCUGCACACACAACAAUGGUAGUGUCAACAGGACGGCCUUUCAUGAGGACCAGAUGGCCCUUAAGGUCUGCUUUCAGUCUGUUACUGAACACCAAGGCUAAUAUUCUUCUCCUAAUGUGACACUGUUGGAACAGAGAUUUCAAAGCAUGCAGCCUCUGACAAUUACCCGACAGAGCAGAAUGAAUAGAAGACACCG